CCUACGCACUCCUACGGGAGCCAGCAGUGGGGAAUAUUGCACAAUGGGCGCAAGCCUGAUGCAGCCAUGCCGCGUGUAUGAAGAAGGCCUUCGGGUUGUAAAGUACUUUCAGCAGUGAGGAAGGUGGGUAUGUUAAUAGCAUACUCAUUUGACGUUAGCUGCAGAAGAAGCACCGGCUAACUCCGUGCCAGCAGCCGCGGUAAUACGGAGGGUGCGAGCGUUAAUCGGAAUUACUGGGCGUAAAGCGCAUGCAGGUGGUUUGUUAAGUCAGAUGUGAAAGCCCGGGGCUCAACCUCGGAAUUGCAUUUGAAACUGGCAAACUAGAGUACUGUAGAGGGGGUAGAAUUUCAGGUGUAGCGGUGAAAUGCGUAGAGAUCUGAAGGAAUACCGGUGGCGAAGGCGGCCCCCUGGACAGAUACUGACACUCAGAUGCGAAAGCGUGGGGAGCAAACAGGAUUAGAUACCCUGGGAG
rnacentral:rRNA from 1 species